CGCGCAGGCGGUUAGGUAAGUUAGGCAUGAAAGCUCCCUGGCUUAACCGGGAGAGGAUGUCUGAUACUGCCUGGCUAGAGUGAGGUAGAGGGGUGUAGAAUUCCGCGUGUAGUGGUGAAAUGCGUAGAGAUGCGGAGGAAUACCAGUGGCGAAGGCGGCACCCUGGACCUUAACUGACGCUGAGGCGCGAAAGCAUGGGUAGCGAACGGGAUUAGAAACCCCGGUAGUCCAUGCCGUAAACGAUGUACACUGGAUGUUGGCUGGGCUACGGUUCAGUGAGUGUCUAAGCAAACGCGCUAAGUGUACCGCCUGGGGAGUACGGUCGCAAGGCUAAA
rnacentral:rRNA from 1 species